rnacentral:rRNA from 1 species
UACGUAGGCAGCAAGCGUUGUUCGGAGUUACUGGGCGUAAAGAGUGCGUAGGCGGUGCUCUAAGUUUGGUGUGAAAUCUCCCGGCUUAACUGGGAGGGUGCGCCGAAAACUGGAGUGCUUGAGUAUGGGAGAGGCAAGCGGAAUUCCUGGUGUAGCGGUGAAAUGCGUAGAUAUCAGGAGGAACACCUGUGGUGUAGACAGCUUGCUGGACCAUUACUGACGCUGAGGCACGAAAGCGUGGGUAGCAAACAGG